rnacentral:rRNA from 1 species
UGGGGAAUAUUGGACAAUGGGGGCAACCCUGAUCCAGCCAUGCCGCGUGAGUGAUGAAGGCCUUCGGGUUGUAAAGCUCUUUUGGCGGGGACGAUGAUGACGGUACCCGCAGAAUAAGCCCCGGCUAACUUCGUGCCAGCAGCCGCGGUAAGACGAAGGGGGCUAGCGUUGUUCGGAAUUACUGGGCGUAAAGCGAGUGUAGGCGGUUGCCGUAGUCAGGUGUGAAAGCCUUGAGCUCAACUCAAGAAAUGCACUUGAUACUGGGUGACUAGAGGACCGGAGAGGAUAGUGGAAUUCCCAGUGUAGUGGUGAAAUACGUAGAGAUUGGGAAGAACACCAGUGGCGAAGGCGGCUAUCUGGACGGUUACUGACGCUAGGACUCGAAAAGCGUGGGGAGCAAAACAGGAUUAGAUACCCUGGUAGUCCACGCCGUAAAACGAUGGGUGCUAGACGUUGGCGAGCUUGCUCGUCAGUGUCGCAGCUAAACGCGUUAAGCACCCCGCCUGGGGAGUACGGCCGCAAAGGUUGAAAACUCAAAAGGAAUUGACGGGGUCAUAGCUGUUUCCU